UCAUGAUUUUUUGUUAGGAUCUAUACAUAUUAUGUUGGGAUAUUCGAAACACCGUGGACAUUGUUUACAUGUAAGUUUUUAAACACAUUCUACUAAACUUCCAAAAUCCAGCAUAUUACUAUGAAUAAGUACAAUUAGUUUGUUCGAUCCUGGAAGUGGAAUUGAUAGGUUAAUCUGCCUUAUUUUAAGUGGAAUCAUAUUCUUCUGACUUUUGUAUAUAUAGUAGCAGAUUGCUAUCAUGACAUAUCUUUUGUAGAACUGAAGGUGCUCGAAAGGCACACCAGAAUUCAGAUGUAGUUUAUGAACUUUCUCUGUACUUUAGAGGUCAGUGAAUGGUUUGAAAAUAUGAUGCUAAUAAUCAUUAAGCAGUAUGUAGUAUGUGUGUGUCUCUACUAAAGGACUUUGUAAUCAGCUACAUGAAAGAGAGGAAAUACAAGAGAAAAUGCACUAUAUGUGUGUGUGCCAAAGUGCGUGUAUCUUUUUCUAUCUUGAGCAUGUACUCUUCUUCUUCCUGGGGCUUCUCCAACAAUGUUGCCGUGAUUCUCUCGGGAAUUUAGCAAAAUCUAUUAACAAACCUUUUGUACUAUUAUUUGUUGGCAUCUCAUUAAGCGAAUUUAAAG
rnacentral:lncRNA from 1 species